rnacentral:rRNA from 1 species
UACAGAGGUCUCAAGCGUUGUUCGGAAUUACUGGGCGUAAAGGGCUCGUAGGUGGCCAACUAAGUCAGACGUGAAAUCCCUCAGCUUAACUGGGGAACUGCGUCUGAUACUGGAUGGCUUGAGUUUGGGAGAGGGAUGCGGAAUUCCAGGUGUAGCGGUGAAAUGCGUAGAUAUCUGGAGGAACACCGGUGGCGAAGGCGGCAUCCUGGACCGGUAUUGACGCUGAGGCGCGAAAGCCAGGGGAGCAAACGGG